rnacentral:rRNA from 1 species
ACACUCCUACGGGAGGCAGCAGUGGGGAAUUUUGGACAAUGGGCGAAAGCCUGAUCCAGCAAUGCCGCGUGAGUGAAGAAGGCCUUCGGGUUGUAAAGCUCUUUUGUCAGGGAAGAAACGGUGAGAGCUAAUAUCUCUUGCUAAUGACGGUACCUGAAGAAUAAGCACCGGCUAACUACGUGCCAGCAGCCGCGGUAAUACGUAGGGUGCAAGCGUUAAUCGGAAUUACUGGGCGUAAAGCGUGCGCAGGCGGUUUUGUAAGUCUGAUGUGAAAUCCCCGGGCUCAACCUGGGAAUUGCAUUGGAGACUGCAAGGCUAGAAUCUGGCAGAGGGGGGUAGAAUUCCACGUGUAGCAGUGAAAUGCGUAGAUAUGUGGAGGAACACCGAUGGCGAAGGCAGCCCCCUGGGUCAAGAUUGACGCUCAUGCACGAAAGCGUGGGGAGCAAACAGGAUUAGAAAUCCCGGUAGUCCCAUGA